UUACUAUUCUUAUCAACAGAAAUUAAUGAAAAUUGAGCUCAUUUAAACUGAAUACCAGAAAUGAUCAUUUCUGUGCACAUAAAACCUGGUCAUCGUAUGUGUUCAUGUCAUCUCUUUGUGGGUAUCUCUGUGCUAAAUUUGCUGAAAAAAUCUGAAUAUCAUUGUUUCCUUGAUUGGAUAGCCUUAAAACAAAGUUCAGAUGUUGCUCGAAGAUUGUGGCUUUCUGUGUAGGGGUUCCGCUCCAUGGGUCUGCUUGUGAAGAUGGGUUUGGAGAGAGGUGUUUGUUGGGAAUUCUUUGAUUCGUUUCUAUGCAGAAUGUGGGCACUUGGAUUAUGCCGGGAAGGUGUUUGAUGAAAUGCUUGAGAGAAACACUGUGUCGUGGACUAAGCAGAGAUGUUUGAAGCUGAGACUUGAAAACAAUCUUUAGGCUUCAAGCUUCAAGGUGCAAUAGCUGAUAAUAAUUCCAAGAUUUUUCAGUUUUGUUUUUCCUCUUUUUUUUCUCUGAUUCUGCAGGUACAUUUUUUUUUAUAUGGUUGAGAUUUGUUGAGAUUUUUAAGCUUUUAGUUCAUAGUGGUUUGUAACAGUUGGAAUUACCACAAUGGUAGUUGCAUAAACUAAUCAGCAUGUAUGGAUGGCAUUUGGGGUCACCAUACUGGCACCUUAAGAAAGAUGAGCAAGUACCUCUAGUUAUGUUAGCGAAGAACUUUGAUCUUAGCAAAGGGCUCCAUGGAUUGAUGGCAAUUUUAAUUUGUAUAUGUGUUAAAGUCGGACUGCAUGUAUUCCAUUGCAGUGAUCAAGUGGGAUGAGUGAUGAGACUAUUGUCUGCAGUCAUAGGAAGGAGGCUGCUGCAGGAAGGGUACAUAUGCACUGUGUAUUCAUCCACAAGUAUUUGUAUUCACGAAAACUUUACAAUAUUGAUCAACAGGGGUUGCUGAAUAGUUUUCAGCAGCAGUGAUCAAGUGGCAUGAUGAUGGAGCUUUCCUCUUAAGAGGCUGCUGCAGGAUGGCUACAUAUACCAUCAGGCUUAACCGAGUUCCAAAACUGAUCGAAUAUGGGACAUUUAGAAAAUGAUGAGAAGAGGAGGCAGAAUUUAAAGCUGAAACAAAAGAGGGACAAAAAGACUUGAAAGAACUUCAUUGGGCAUUCACAAAUUUCUAGCAUGAUGGUAUCGCUGCAGCAGAUGGUUAUAAUAUUUUGAUGCCUUCAAACAUACAGAUCACCCUUCCCUCUGAUGGUCCUUGAAAGUUUUGGUAGUAGUAUGCUUCAUCCACUGCGAAGAGUAGAUGCAUCAGAUCAUGUUCCAAUAAUGGGAUGGCAUGAAUGCGUUAUGCUGAAGCAAUUACAUAUGAGUUACAUUUUGUUCCUCUUUACCCUUUUCUUUCAUGCUCUUCAUUUUGGGGGGUUUGGUUGUGUAUGGAGUAACAUCUAAACUCUUUGCCUAAAGCUUUUGUAUUACUGAAAGUUUUAAAUAUCAAGUUUAAUUGUCUCA